AUGUUAAGACUGUGCAAAGGGUGUGAUUUUCACCAGGCACUUUAUAUCCUUCAUUCUUGUCACACCACUGUUAUUGAAAACGUGAUAAUUGUCAUAUUAUUGAUGCAAAGUGUUAUUUUGUAUUACAGAACUAUCCUCCUCCAUCAUCACCACCAUCUCCCUUUAUCACACCACGGUGGCAAGGGAAUCUCUGUGGUCCUCCAAUACCUGCCCCAACUUGUUAUACAAAGAGAAAAGAUGCUUGAAGGGAAAAGAAAGGACUUUUGCCGACCCUCAACUAACAUACACCACAAGUCCACAACCACUCAAGAUGACCCCAUUGGGACUGGUAUGGACAAUGGUGUGUUUGAUGACAACAGAAGCCACGUGAAACAGUUCAGCUGUCACGAACGUCAUCAGGGAAAUGACCGGACCAAGGUGCAGCGUGGUGAGCAUACAUUUCUUUUUUAUUUUGAAUGUAGCCAACAAGAACCAACGAACAUGCCACUUACCAGUGCUAUGCAGGUCACUAACAAAGACAACUACCCACACCUAACGUGGCAAAACAGGCUGCCUAAGUAUGAUUCCCAAUCAGAGACAACCAUAGACAGCGGUCCAAGAUUGAGGACCAUACCAGGCCAAAACAUAGAAAUAGAGAACAUAGAAAUAAAGAUACUAGAAUGCACACCCUAG
rnacentral:lncRNA from 1 species